ACAAAAUCUUAAUUGAAUUUUUGGGUGAACUACCCCUUUAACACCCUCUUUGGUCUCCAUAAACUCCCAAGAAAAAUCAGUGGGGCUUUAACUGCUAUAAGUUCUACAUUAUUCACCACAUCUACUUCAGCUUUCUGAACUUAUUACAGACCUGAGUCUGCUGAAUUGGCAGCAGCUGUCUACAGUUUUAUCUGGAUGAGUGCAUCCAUAUGGUUCACAACAUGUUUGGUCUAAGAAGUUAAAGCAAUAUCCUAAAAGAGGCUACAGGUUGUAAAGUAGAGCCAAGCCAACACUGGUAUCUUGGGGCAAGUGCAGAUGCCAGCUCUGAUAUAGAUUUCUUUGUCAGUAAUAAAUUCAGACUGAUAUAUCAGCCAGUAUUCUUUGUGUACAAACACUGUAUUUCACUAACAAGUAAGCAUCUUAAUAUGAGGAUUCCUUGUAUUUGGCAUGCCUUAAGUAAAGCAAAUAUUAUUAUUUUGCAUUUUUUAUUCUGGUUUGGUGGAAAAUGUUGCUGUCGAGCUGGCGACUUAAGUAUUUUAGUGUAAGAGCAAGUGUGAACUGAGUUAAAUUUGGAGUGCAGAAUUCAGUGUCUGAAAGUUUUCUUUUCUUAACUGGCAGUUUAAUGAUAUAUGCACAGCACUUCACUUCACAUUUCAUAGCAGCCAAAAUAGCUCAGCUGGAGUGCAGAAAAUAUUUCCAGAAAAAUCUGCAGCAUCCAAUCGUAAGGUUGAGCUAUCUUCUGGUAAAAAGUCAGUACUUUAACUUUUGGUGCAUAAUUAUAGACCUAUACACACAACCGUUCAGUGAAGCACACAUUGAUCUCUUUUAUCACAUCCAGCCAGAUGCUGACAAACAGCUGUAAUCUUCUAAUACUGUGUUGGCUGACACAGUCCAUCCUCAAAAACCACUAUUCUCAACUGCUCUAUUUUCAGUUUUCUUAUAAUGCUAUUACUCCGAGAGGACAAAGAUAAGCUUCACAUUGUGAGCGUGACAGCGGGACACAGAGAAAGACAGAGAGGAAAAACAAAAGAAGAAGAAGAGGAGGAGAUGCAAUAGAGAUGAAGGUGGCAUCGUGUCUGUGGAGGAACGUCCUGCUGUUCUCUACCGCUUGGCAAGCAGUGGGAUAAUGAUUGCAAAUACACAGGGUAGACUCUAUGCCGGUGCAUUAUCUGUUCGAACCGACCGUGAAUCAAGUACAAAGCGUAAUCCCCGUGGUAAGCUCA